rnacentral:ncRNA from 1 species
AUAUCAUUUUGAGGAAUUCUAACAGAAGUUUCUAUUGGUAGUGUAAGUUGGGCAAAGUGUCUUAUUUUUUUAAAGUAUUUCAAAGUAAAAUUACAUGUUAAUACGUAGUAUUAAUGGCGAGACUCCUGAGGGAGCAGUGCCAGUCGAAGACCGAGGCUGAGACGGCACCCUAGGAAAGCGAAGCCAUUCAAUACGAAGUAUUGUAUAAAUAGAGAACAGCAG